UGUGGGAGCUGGCUUGCCUGCGAUGAGGGCCUUGAGGCUUACACUGCUCUCUUGGGCGCCAUCGCAGGCAAGCCAGCUCCCACA
rnacentral:antisense_RNA from 1 species